rnacentral:rRNA from 1 species
GACGAACGCUGGCGGCGUGCUUAACACAUGCAAGUCGAACGCUGAAGCCCUUCGGGGUGGAUGAGUGGCGAACGGGUGAGUAACACGUGGGUAAUCUGCCCUGCACUCUGGGAUAAGCCUUGGAAACGGGGUCUAAUACCGGAUAGGACACAUCGCCGCAUGGUGUGUGUGUGGAAAGUUCCGGUGGUGCAGGUUGAGCCCGCGGCCUAUCAGCUUGCUGGUGGGGUGAUGGCCUACCAAGGCGACGACGGGUAGCCGGCCUGAGAGGGUGACCGGCCACACUGGGACUGAGACACGGCCCAGACUCCUGCGGGAGGCAGCAGUGGGGAAUCUUGCGCAAUGGGCGAAAGCCUGACGCAGCAACGCCGCGUGGGGGAUGACGGCCUUCGGGUUGUAAACCUCUUUCGACCGGGACGAAGGAUUCGUUUGACGGUACCGGUAGAAGAAGCACCGGCUAACUACGUGCCAGCCGCCGCCGUAACAC